rnacentral:rRNA from 1 species
GUGGGGAAUAUUGGACAAUGGGGGAAACCCUGAUCCAGCGACGCCGCGUGGGUGAAGAAGGCCUGCGGGUUGUAAAGCCCUUUCGGUAGGGACGAAAGCUCUCGACCUAACACGUCGGGAGGUUGACUUAACCUACAGAAGAAGCACCGGCUAACUCUGUGCCAGCAGCCGCGGUAAUACAGAGGGUGCGAGCGUUAAUCGGAAUUACUGGGCGUAAAGCGCACGUAGGCGGCUUGGUAUGUCGGGUGUGAAAUCCCCGGGCUCAACCUGGGAACUGCAUCCGAAACUGCCUUGCUAGAGUAUGGGAGAGGGAAGUGGAAUUUCCGGUGUAGCGGUGAAAUGCGUAGAUAUCGGAAGGAACAUCAGUGGCGAAGGCGACUUCCUGGACCAAUACUGACGCUCAGGUGCGAAAGCGUGGGGAGCAAACAGGAUUAGAAACCCGGGUAGUCC